AGAGAAGCGAGACUGUGAAGUGGAGCAAAACUCAAAAACCGGUACCCAGUUCGGACUGCAGGCUGAAACUCGCCUGCACGAAGUUGGAGUUGCUAGUAAUCGCAGAUCAGAAUGCUGCGGUGAAUGCGUUCCCGGGUCUUGUACACACCGCCCGUCACACCAUGGAAGUUGGGGGUGCCCAAAGUCGGUUAGAAAAUAAACUGCCUAAGGCAAAACCAAUGACUGGGGUGAAGUCGUAACAAGGUACC
rnacentral:rRNA from 1 species